rnacentral:rRNA from 1 species
UGGGGAAUAUUGCACAAUGGGCGAAAGCCUGAUGCAGCGACGCCGCGUGGGGAUGACGGCCUUCGGGUUGUAAACCUCUUUCAGCAGGGACGAAGCGCAAGUGACGGUACCUGCAGAAGAAGCACCGGCCAACUACGUG